rnacentral:rRNA from 1 species
UACGGAGGGUGCAAGCGUUAUCCGGAUUCACUGGGUUUAAAGGGUGCGUAGGCGGGCAGAUAAGUCAGUGGUGAAAUCUCCGAGCUUAACUCGGAAACUGCCGUUGAUACUAUUUGUCUUGAAUACUGUGGAGGUAAGCGGAAUAUGUCAUGUAGCGGUGAAAUGCUUAGAUAUGACAUAGAACACCAAUUGCGAAGGCAGCUUACUACCCGAAUAUUGACCCUGAGGCACGAAAGCGUGGGGAUCAAACAGG